CCCUCUUACCCAAAACCCUCAAAAACAUGAAAAUCAUGAAAUCUAUCCAGGGGGGACGACACUAGUUUUUAAGCCGACUUUUUUAAUAAUAUUCGCAAAAAUGUCAAGCUAACCUAAUUAAUUUGUUUUGCCCAACUUAUUCCUGGACAUCCCUAUUUAUCCGCUUUUAUCCUCAUAAAACCUGAAAAAGCCAAAAAAAAGUCGCUCGGUUGUCAAAAUCUUUUUUCGACUUUUUCAUUCCUUUUUUUUUUUUGUUUGUUUAUGUUUUUUCUACCAGCGAAAUUGUAUAAUUUUGAUAAUUUUUCCUCGAAGCAUAUUUAAUACCAGCGGGAAUGACCGCUGCCGUCGUCGUCGGUUCUGUCGUGUUUUGGGGCCUUUCCGGUGAGUGAGGUAGCUCAAGUUUACGGCAGAGGCGAAGUCAGAUCACCGGAUAGCACAACUUCGGGACCUGCUUCCUAAAUACGCUGUUCCAGGCCUUGGCGACUUGUCUACAGUUCAUCACUCGGCUGCAGUUACACAACACCAAGGACAAGAGAACGUUUUCAAUGGAUCGCAUCCGACGUAGCGCCGCGAUCCAUAUUCUCCGGGAUCAGUUAUCUGGGCCCUAAACGGAGGAGGUAACUAAACCGAAGAUGAUCGGCUGUCUGUCGGAUGGCCUGGAGGAAGAGGAACUUAGGGUCAUGAUGCCAGGCCGUCCAGUGCCAGCGCGACGUAUCCACGAACUUGAAACGCUACGUCCGUUUCGUCUAGUCUGAAGCGCACACUCCGGAUUCACCGCUCUCAACUUGCACGGGAACGGAGGAUUCAAUGGCGGGCCUGGAGGGGUCACUAAUGGACUGCGCCGGAACACCGUCAUCGAUCAUUCCCAAGCUCUUCGAGCGACCGAGCAAGCCGAAACUGGACAAGCGAUCACCUGGGUGGUGCCGAUCUCUGUGGGUGUGCCCCGGGAGGGUAUAGAUCUGGACAGACCGGAAGCAGAUCCAGGCUUUCCAUCCAUUCCGAACCGUCAACUUUGCUGAAACAAAUCCGUGGUCAGAUGCGACAAGUUCAAAACUUGUGUGACGCUGCCGCUUCCGGAAGUUAAGAUUGUUAGGUACUCUAUUUACUUGUCUGAAAUAAAGGCUACUAUAAUCCAAAGUAUGAA